rnacentral:sRNA from 1 species
UCAAUAUUAAAUAAUGACAAAGGUUAUAUUAACACACUCCACAAGUCUAUCUGGUAACACACUCCACAGGUCUAUCUGGUAACACACUCCACAGGUCUAUCUGGUAACUUACUCCACAGAUCUGUCUGGUAACACACUCCACAGGUCAAUCUGGUAACACACUUCACAGGUCUAUCUGGUAACACACUCCACAGAUCUGUCUGGUAACACACUCCACAGGUCUUUCUGGUAACACACUCCACAUGUCUAUCUGGUAACACACUCCACAGGUCUAUCUGGUAACACACUCCACAGGUCUUUCUGGUAACACACUCCACAGGUCUAUCUGGUAACACACUCCACAGGUCUAU